UACGUAGGUGGCAAGCGUUGUCCGGAUUUACUGGGCGUACAGAGCGCGCAGGCGGUCGUCCAAGUCGCGUGUGAAAGCCCCCGGCUCAACUGGGGAGGGUCACGCGAUACUGGUCGACUCGAAGGCAGGAGAGGGUAGUGGAAUUCCCGGUGUAGUGGUGAAAUGCGUAGAUAUCGGGAGGAACACCAGUGGCGAAGGCGACUACCUGGUCUGUUCUUGACGCUGAGGCGCGAAAGCUAGGGGAGCAAACGGG
rnacentral:rRNA from 1 species